rnacentral:sRNA from 1 species
CGCGGCUCAUCGGAUACGAGCUAUUUAUAAAGAUUUAGAAAAAGUGUUCUCUCAGUCAUCUUUCGAUACCUAUCGUUUAGCUCCUGCGAUUGCUUAUCUAGAAAAUCAAUACAAUAGCUUUUGCCAUCAGCUUUUAUACAUUACAAAUUUAUAUAGGUAUCUAUCAUGUCUAACAAAAUGACUGGUUCAGUAAAAUGGUUCAACGAAACUAAAGGUUUUGGUUUCAUUUCUCAAGACAACGGCGGCGCAGACGUAUUCGUUCACUUCCGUUCAAUCGUUUCUGAAGGCUUCAAAACUCUUUCUGAAGCCAAAAAGUUAGCUUCGAAGUAGAACAAGGCCAAAAAGGUCCUCAAGCUGCUAACGUUGUAGCUCUAUAAUUUAGUUUAUCCGUAACACAGUUUGGGAUUACCCAUCUGUUAACGUAUAAAUAUAAAAAGCGACCAUUGGUCGCUUUUUUU